CCUACGGGUGGCAGCAGUGGGGAAUAUUGGACAAUGGGGGCAACCCUGAUCCAGCCAUGCCGCGUGUGUGAAGAAGGCCCUCGGGUUGUAAAGCACUUUCAGUGAGGAUGAACGCCUGGUGGUUAAUACCCAUCAGGAAAGACAUCACUCACAGAAGAAGCACCGGCUAACUCCGUGCCAGCAGCCGCGGUAAUACGGAGGGUGCGAGCGUUAAUCGGAAUUACUGGGCGUAAAGCGCGCGUAGGUGGCUUGAUAAGCCGGUUGUGAAAGCCCCGGGCUCAACCUGGGAACGGCAUCCGGAACUGUCAAGCUAGAGUGCAGGAGAGGAAGGUAGAAUUCCCGGUGUAGCGGUGAAAUGCGUAGAGAUCGGGAGGAAUACCAGUGGCGAAGGCGGCCUUCUGGACUGACACUGACACUGAGGUGCGAAAGCGUGGGUAGCAAACAGGAUUAGAUACCCUUGUAGUC
rnacentral:rRNA from 1 species